AACGAACGCUGGCGGCAGGCUUAACACAUGCAAGUCGAACGCACCUUUCGGGGUGAGUGGCAGACGGGUGAGUAACACGUGGGAACGUACCCUUCAGUUCGGAAUAACCCUGGGAAACUAGGGCUAAUACCGGAUACGGCCGAGAGGCGAAAGGUUUACUGCUGUGGGAUCGGCCCGCGUCCGACUAGCUAGUUGGUGUUGGUAACGGCUCACCAAGGCGACGAUCGGUAGCUGGUCUGAGAGGAUGGCCAGCCACAUUGGGACUGAGACACGGCCCAAACUCCUACGGGAGGCAGCAGUGGGGAAGAUUGGACAAUGGGCGCAAGCCUGAUCCAGCCAUGCCGCGUGAGUGAUGACGGCCUUAGGGUUGUAAAGCUCUUUUACCUGGGAAGAUAAUGACGGUACCAGGAGAAUAAGCCCCGGCUAACUUCGUGCCAGCCGCCGCUGUAAUAC
rnacentral:rRNA from 1 species